GGCACUAAUCUCAUCAUUUUUUCUGGUCAACACAGGUGUGGGAUGAUGGCAAUGCGUUAAUCAACAACGGUUUCAUUACCUCGCGCAAAAGGUCCCUCCUUCCCGCUGACCGCACGCGCCGAGCCUUACCUGUCGACCCACUGGAGAGAGGCGAUUACUGUUGUGGGAGUGUGGUACCCCUAGACCCAGCCGCAGCCACCCCUACAGGUGAUUUCUUCCGCUUUGCUUCAGGAGGAUCAGUCCAGGUAACUCAGACCCCAACUGGAGAUGAUGCUCUACCACCAUCCCGGGUCACAGACCUGCAGGUGACUUAUUCACACUCAACCAUGAACAUCACCUGGACGGCUCCAGGGGACGAUUAUGACUCAGGCACAGGU